rnacentral:rRNA from 1 species
UACGAAGGGGGCGAGCGUUGUUCGGAUUUACUGGGCGUAAAGGGCGCGUAGGCGGCCCUCCUAGUCGCGUGUGAAAGCCCCGGGCUUAACCUCGAGCUGUCGGCGGAAACCAUCUGGCUAGAGUCCGGAAGAGGAGAAUGGAAUUCCCGGUGUAGCGGUGAAAUGCGCAGAUAUCGGGAAGAACACCCGUGGCGAAGGCGGUUCUCUGGGACGGUACUGACGCUGAGACGCGAAAGCGUGGGGAGCGAACAGG